UCGAGACAGCCUGGCUGAUAAGUAAGCUGAAAGGCCGUAAACACCAGGGAGGAAUAUUCCGAGGGGAUUGGGACAGGUAGCUGCAGAUGAAGGGUGGGGUGGUUGGCUCCACACCCCCACCCAAUUCUGAGACCCUUGUCACCUGGAUGUCAGCAGCAGGCGACACUUAGGCAGUGCACUCUGGAGUGCGGUGGAUUUGGUUUCAGUGGAAGCUGCUGUUCAGAGUGGAGAUGCUAAUGGUAACCCCUGAAGCUCCCCAACCCCUCCAGCAGCCUGUGAGAGUCAUGCUGACCCUGAGUCAUCACCUGCGUUGAUAGUGUGUGACUUUUGCCAGCCUGAGGAUGCGCUGCAGCUGCUUUGAAACCAGGGAAGAUUGACAUCAUUGCCAUGGAGACUGGAAGUUGAGCAUCUCAAAGUGAGGCUGGAGGUUGGGCCGAGGACUCAACUGGAUUCGGUCUCUUCGCUCCAGAACAGACCUGCUCUCCCGUGUGCCCUCGCAAGGAUCCUCCCCCCACCCCACCCCUACAGUUGCCUUUGGCUCCAGGAGCAAAACUUGGACUGUUCAUCCUUCUGGUCAACCCGCCUCCUCUCCAGGCUCCUCUCGGCAUCCACAUCCCAGGAAGGAACAGCACCUUGGGACUUCUCAGUGCCCGUCAGAUGGGCUGCCCUGAGAGCCACUGUGCCAACAGCAUCAGAAUCCAAGGGGAUUGUGGAGCUGUUGACUGGGGCCGCUUCUGAGCACUGGUUCAGUCUGACUCCUUGA
rnacentral:lncRNA from 1 species